UCCUACGGGAGGCAGCAGUGGGGAAUAUUGCACAAUGGGCGAAAGCCUGAUGCAGCAACGCCGCGGGAGUGAUGAAGGCCUUCGGGUCGUAAAACUCUGUCCUCAAGGAAGAUAAUGACGGUACUUGAGGAGGAAGCCCCGGCUAACUACGUGCCAGCAGCCGCGGUAAGACGUAGGGGGCUAGCGUUAUCCGGAUUUACUGGGCGUAAAGGGUGCGUAGG
rnacentral:rRNA from 1 species